GCUGUAGAUUCAAGAAGAGACCCAGAGAAGAAAUAUCAGCAAUGACUACUGGACCAUUUCUCCAGGCUCCACCCAGCCCGCAUAUCUUGCCUUGAGCUGUUGACUGACUAUUUCAUUCCACCCCUCCCCCUCAGGGAAGCUGCCAGUGCCAGUUCUUUGCUCCAUGACACAGUCCUGGCAGGAGAAGUCAGACCGCCAUCUUGGGCUGGCCUCAUUCCCAGGAGAAGCCAGCACAGAGACUAUGAGAGAUGCAGCUGAAGGAAGCACAUUUCAGGCACUCCUCUCUAGGGUAAAUGUUCCAAGGAGCCCCAGGCUAGAUUAGAGAUAAACAAGACAAAAAUCUUGUGAAGAAAUCAGCAGGAGCCCUUACUCCUCAAAGAAGACAGCGGUGUAAUACAUGUUUUCAAAAAUA